rnacentral:lncRNA from 10 species
CCGCAUCAUCCUCCCUGCUGAAGAAACACUUUACACCUCAUAAAACAAUUGCUCAGGAAUUCUGGGCUCCCAGAGAGACCCUGAGUUUCAAAUAGAGAUGAGCUUGGCACUCACUCCAUGAAUGACUGGAGUGUAGGGGCAGCUGGGAGUCCUUUAAGUUCCAGCUUGAAGAGAGUGAGCCGGAGCUCAUCUCACACUCGUUCACCUCAGACACAAGAAAUGAAUGAUGCCCUCUCCCCAUCCCACCCUUUACUCUCUCUGGGCAAGAAGCACUGUCUGCAAGGCCCCUGGGGGGAAGAAGCAGGGAAAGUAGGUGAGGUGGCCCAAAGCCCUCCACAAGUCCUGCUUUCCUCGCUUGGCCUUGCUCCCCCAUCUCCUUGGGAAGCUGUUGUCCUAUCCAUUGAGCUGAGUGUUUCCAGUAAGAACACUGUCAGCCUCUAGCAGCAUCCCUCCAACUGCCAGCACCCUGCCAUUGCCCAGACAGUCUAAGGCCCCAGGGUGUGGCCAAUUCAGAUAUGAUCCAGCUACGGUGGGGUUCACUGAUGCUGAGUGUAGUUGGGAGCCCUUCCUCUUGUUGUUCUCUCCUGCUGCUGAGUCUCCUCUUCUGCUCCUAGCCACCAGUAAGAGAGGUUUUAUCAAUCCCCACCGUCCAACAAUUACAUUCAUCUGCAUCUCCGGCUCAAGUCACUGCAGAGUCUCCCAGAUUCUCACAAGACUGCCAUUGUCCAGAAAUGUGUACAGAAUGCUCACUGCACCACGUUCAAGCCUGAGAAAGUCCCAAAUGCUCAAGGAGUAUACAACAUCACAGAGAAGACAUGAUUAAUAUUGAACAAACAUAUGCAAUAAUCCAGGCAAUGGAUAAGUGCCCACAAGUGACCUAGAGAGAGGGUGAGAUGACUGGGGUGGUCUGCACAAGGUGAAAUAAGAGCUCAAGGGCAGUGGCAGGACAUGAGAGUCCAAACACAAUCAACAGAUACCAGCGAGUCAGGACUGCAGGGUUUGCCUGAGAAAGUUAUAGUGGGGGUAUGGAGAGGGUGUGUAGAAAUGGGAUGGAUGGGAGAAGUUAAGCCAACCAAGCUUAAAAGAAAGCCUAUUCAGGAGGUAGGCAAUUAGGACGUGGAAAAGCCUUCUAAAGUCACGUGUGGGUUGAUGUUGGCUUGUCUCCAGAAUGACAAAAAGUAGUUAUCCUUCUAGAAAUGCAACCACAGCCAACUGGAAGCAGCAGUUAUGAUUCAAGCAGUAACUGUGGUUUUUAGAGAUCCUGUAACAUCAUCAGUGACGUAGCCCCUUCUGUGAGGCACAAUCUCAGCCUCACAGGGCCACAAAGAACAAGUUUCCCCAUGCAGGCAGCUUCUCUGGAUUUAUUUUCUCCUUCUUCUGUAUCAUCAUUUUUUAUCAAGUGGCAAAGAAUGUAUUUGAAAGAAGAGACCCUUCCUGCUUUCCUUCCACUGAUUGAUGCUUAGUAUUCCUAGAUCAGAAAGUCAGCCGAGAUACAUGAUGGGGGCAGGGAGCAAUCCAGCAGGAAGGCCAGGGCUUAUCCUGGGUUGGCCACUGGAUGCGUUCACAAUUAAGGUCUCUUCCAAAUCCAAGAACCUGAGUCUCUCUACUUCCACCCAAAUUUUCCUCCAUUUCCAAGGUGGCUAGGUACACUCCCCCACUUCCCAGUCAGGAUGUUUGAGUGUGUCUGACUAUGUUCUUUCCCAUGUGAGCAGAAGAGGUGCACGCCACUUCCAAGUGGCCAUAAGACCUCCCAGAUGUUCUCCUCUGUGUUCUUCCCCAGGUCCCAUGAGCUAUACUGAUAAUGACAAUGGUGAUAGCAACUUUGGAAGCCAGUUAAUAUUGGAAUAUGGCAAAGCCACUAUCAGCCUGUUUCCUGAGGGAACGCAUAGAGCCGAACUUUCUCCCUGCGCCUACUCCAACAAUCUGGAAUGUCUGCCUUGGAAUAUUAUGUGAGAAAGAAAUAAACAUCUCUUGUGUUUG